GGUCAAGUUAUUAAGGGUGCAGGGCGGAUGCCUUGGCACUAGGAGCCGAUGAAGGACGUGAUAAGCUGCGAUAAGCUUCGGGGAGUUGCACGUAAACUUUGAUCCGAAGAUUUCCGAAUGAGGAAACUCACUUAGAGUAAUGUCUAAGUAUCAUUAAGUGAAUACAUAGCUUAAUGAGGGGAACUCAGGGAACUGAAACAUCUAAGUACCUGAAGGAAGAGAAAGAAAUUCGAUUCCGUAAGUAGCGGCGAGCGAACGCGGAUUAGCCCAAACCAAUAAAGUUUUCUUUAUUGGGGUUGCGGACAUAUCAUAACGAAGAGGUAUCGUAAUUGAAGAGGUUUGGAAAGACCCACCACAGAAGGUAAUAGUCCUGUAUGUUAAACGAGAAGACUUUAGAUAUGAUCCAGAGUACCACGGGACACGUGAAACCCUGUGGGAAGCAGGAGGGACCACCCUCCAAGGCUAAAUACUACCUAGUGACCGAUAGCGUAUAGUACCGUGAGGGAAAGGUGAAAAGAACCCCGGGAGGGGAGUGAAAUAGAACCUGAAACCCUGCACUUACAAGCUGUGGAAGCACAUUUCUUGUGUGACCGCGUACUUUUUGUAGAACGGGCCAACGAGUUACGUUAAGUAGCAAGGUUAAGCACUUAAGGUG
rnacentral:rRNA from 1 species